UACGUAGGGGGCAAGCGUUGUCCGGAAUCAUUGGGCGUAAAGAGCGCGUAGGCGGCCCUGUAAGUCCGCUGUGAAAGUCGAGGGCUCAACCCUGGAAUGCCGGUGGAUACUGCAGGGCUAGAGUCCGGAAGAGGCGAAUGGAAUUCCCGGUGUAGCGGUGAAAUGCGCAGAUAUCAGGAGGAACACCGGUGGCGAAGGCGGGUCUCUGGGCCGAUACUGACGCUGAGGAGCGAAAGCGUGGGGAGCGAACAGG
rnacentral:rRNA from 1 species